AUGUGCAAAUUGAAUCUUACUGGCCAGGCUUAUUUGCUAAGCUUGCUGAGAAGCGCAACAUUGAGGACCUCAUCAUGAAUGUUGGCUCUGGUGGUGGUGCUGCUGUUGCUGUUGCUGCCCCAGCUGGUGGUGCACCUGCCGCCGCCGCCGCUCCUGCCGCUGAGGAGAAGAAGGUGAGAAGAAAGCAACAAAUCGGAUUUGUUGAAUUGGGUGGUGGUUGUUUGAGGUACUUGAUAUUUCUAACUGUUGUGUGAUUCGUUUUAUUAAUUUUACAGGAAC
rnacentral:lncRNA from 1 species